rnacentral:rRNA from 1 species
UACGUAGGUGGCAAGCGUUGUCCGGAAUUAUUGGGCGUAAAGCGCGCGCAGGCGGCCUCUUAAGUCUGAUGUGAAAGCCCCCGGCUCAACCGGGGAGGGCCAUUGGAAACUGGGAGGCUUGAGUAUAGGAGAGAAGAGUGGAAUUCCACGUGUAGCGGUGAAAUGCGUAGAGAUGUGGAGGAACACCGUGGCGAAGGCGACUCUUUGGCCUAUAACUGACGUGAGGCGCGAAAGCGUGGG